CCAAAGCAAAUCCUAUCUAUGGACUUCAUAGAAUCCCUUAAAAGUUUUUUAAGAGGGCACGGACUCCGGAUCUUUUAUCUUAUGAAUAGAUCCACUUUGGUUGGUAAUUCUUCUGCCUGACAGGCUGCCUUGGGCUACUACACAGCUGAUAUGAGUGGACAGCAAAGAGCUGUGUAAACCUGUCUAAAACAGUGCACUUGGUGGCUACAUACGGCUAAUCGCUGCUAGUGUUUAGAGUCUGUGGCUGACUCAUCUCAGUACGGUGACCUGGACUGCAGCAAGAUCGGGCACAGCUUCCCUUAGGUGGGAGAAAGAAGGAAUACCAUGGAGGUGUGUGUGGAUGUGUACGCACACAGGAGAGAGUCGGGGCUGGUGGGGAGGCAGAGAGAGAGAAAGGAAAGGCCAAAAGGAAAGUUAAAGGGAUUUACUUUAUUGAUGCUAAUGUAGGGGUCAGCUAACAGUAACAAGCUACUACUAUUAUUUCC
rnacentral:lncRNA from 1 species